rnacentral:rRNA from 1 species
GUGUCAGCAGCCGCGGUAAUACGGAGGAUGCAAGCGUUAUCCGGAUUCAUUGGGUUUAAAGGGUGCGCAGGCGGAGUGAUAAGUCAGUGGUGAAAGCCUACAGCUUAACUGUAGAACUGCCAUUGAUACUGUCAUUCUUGAGUAUUGUUGAGGUAGGCGGAAUGUGUCAUGUAGCGGUGAAAUGCUUAGAUAUGACACAGAACACCGAUCGCGAAGGCAGCUUACCAAGCAAUAACUGACGCUCAUGCACGAAAGCGUGGGGAUCAAACAGGAUUAGAAACCCCUGUAGUCC